rnacentral:rRNA from 1 species
CAGCAGCCGCGGUAAUACGGAGGGAGCUAGCGCUGUUCGGAAUUACUGGGCGUAAAGCGCACGUAGGCGGCUUUGUAAGUUAGAGGUGAAAGCCUGGAGCUCAACUCCAGAACUGCCUUUAAGACUGCAUCGCUUGAAUCCAGGAGAGGUGAGUGGAAUUCCGAGUGUAGAGGUGAAAUUCGUAGAUAUUCGGAAGAACACCAGUGGCGAAGGCGACUCUCUGGUCUGUAACUGACGCUGAGGAGCGAAAGCGUGGGGAGCGAACAGGAUUAGAUACCCCGGUAGUCCCUGUCUCUUAUAC